rnacentral:rRNA from 1 species
UGGGGAAUAUUGGACAAUGGGCGAAAGCCUGAUCCAGCCAUGCCGCGUGUGUGAAGAAGGUCUUCGGAUUGUAAAGCACUUUAAGUUGGGAGGAAGGGCAGUAAGCUAAUACCUUGCUGUUUUGACGUUACCAACAGAAUAAGCACCGGCUAACUCUGUGCCAGCAGCCGCGGUAAUACAGAGGGUGCAAGCGUUAAUCGGAAUUACUGGGCGUAAAGCGCGCGUAGGUGGUUCGUUAAGUUGGAUGUGAAAUCCCCGGGCUCAACCUGGGAACUGCAUACAAAACUGGCGAGCUAGAGUAGGGCAGAGGGUGGUGGAAUUUCCUGUGUAGCGGUGAAAUGCGUAGAUAUAGGAAGGAACACCAGUGGCGAAGGCGACCACCUGGGCUCAUACUGACACUGAGGUGCGAAAGCGUGUGGAGCAAACAGGAUUAGAUACCCUGGUAGUCCACGCCGUAAACGAUGUCAACUAGCCGUUGGAAUCCUUGAGAUUUUAGU